rnacentral:lncRNA from 1 species
CGGCAAUUGCUACUAUUAAUCAUCUUCACUUGUUUAUGAUUUGUAUUUCAUGUUUAAGACAUUUGUAUUAUCUCAAGUUAAUACCUAUGUUUCCAACGAUUCACGAUGUGAUGUUUUUUUUUUUUUUUUUGCCAGGUUAAGUGAUAUUACAUGAAAGAAGUGAAACUAUUAAAUGAUGAUUACAUCUCAGGGAAGAAAAACACAAAACAUGUCAUGCAUCACAGGACCACACGAUAUGUAAACAUUGAAUUGUAGUCACGGGAAAAAAAAAAACCAAAAUAAUGGUCGUCCCAAUUUGUUUUCUUACGCUUUAAACUCAUUGUUUCCACUCAAAUGAUCUGAUGGAAUAUAAACAUAUUCUGUUACAAUCUCUAGUUAUUCUCGUCUAUAUAUAUAUUGUUUCGUAUAUCCCAUAUAAUGUGGAACUGCUUGUAACCUCUUUGGCUAUUUAAAGUCAUGUACAUCAAUGUAUUAUUCUAUGGAAAAUCAUUCUGAUAACAUUAUCUGAA